CUGUUUAUGCAACACCUAUACUAAAAUUGGAACAACACACAGAAGAUUAGCCUGGCCCCUGUGCAAGGACAACAUGUAAAUUCACGAAGCAUUCCAUAUUUAG
rnacentral:snRNA from 1 species